rnacentral:rRNA from 1 species
CCUACGGGGUGCUGCAGUGAGGAAUAUUGGUCAAUGGACGGAAGUCUGAACCAGCCAUGCCGCGUGCAGGAUGACGGCUCUAUGAGUUGUAAACUGCUUUUGGAGGAGGGGAAACACCCCUACGUGUAGGGGCUUGAAAGUAUAAGACGAAUAAGGAUCGGCUAACUCCGUGCCAGCAGCCGCGGUAAUACGGAGGAUCCAAGCGUUAUCCGGAUUUAUUGGGUUUACAGGGUGCGUAGGCGGUUUGAUAAGGUAGAGGUGAAAUACCGGGGCUCAACACCGGAACUGCCUCUCAUACGGUUGAACUAGCGCGUAGUUGCGGUAGGCGGAAUGUCUGGUGUAGCGGUGA